CUCAUGCUUGGUUAUGUGUGUUGCGGGUUGAGGGACAGAAGGAAAGGCAAACCUCUCCUGCCUGGCUCCGGUGGACACUGCAGUAGCGUUAAGAGAAAAGAAAUGGACUUUUACUCGAGCAUCAUGGCCCUAUUAAGUAGCAGACUGCUGAGCUGGGUGGCACUUAGGAAACCCAGGAAAACUCCUACUGACCCCAGUACAUAGAUCUUGCUCUCUUGGGGGAAAGUUGUUUUUACUAUCUUAUAAUAUUUACAUAACAAUAUACUUACUAUUGUGAAAAUAAUUCCACAGCCUUCUAUAUACAAAGCAUAUUUUGAAUCAUUAAAUACCUCAGAUUCCACCUGGACCUCUAUAGGGAAAACCAUUACAGGAUGUGUAGGUCCUCUGAGAUUGAGAAGUGACACAAAUGACAUGCGGUUCCUGUGGCUGCACCCUGUCUUGACUCAGUCUUACCUUUUCUUCUUGGCAUCCUUUUUAGUGUCCCCAGUAAUAGGGCUUAUCUUUGCUAUAGUAUGUGUCAGGACACAGCAUAGGCUAUGCCUUAUGAACAUCAGCUAAAUUUUUAUAGCGCUUCAUGCCUUUUUAUCUCCUACUCAGCCUCUUGAUCAUCUAGGUGUCAGCUGCCUUCUAAGGCUCAGCCAUGCCUUCCCAAAGCCGUGGACUCCUCUAAUAUACUGUGGUUGCAUCUUCUUAGUGCGUUGGAAGUAGGGAGUAAAAAUGCAAAUAUCUAAAAGAUCCCGUUUCUGUGUGGGUUUUGUGUGCUACAUUUUUUCUGAAAUUAGCAUUUUCAAGUGUUCAUUCACAGGACUUAAGAUUUCCCUGUAACUUUUCCCUUAAUGUUUGGCAUUUACCCUCACUAGCAAGCCACUGUCUUUGACCAAGUGAAUUCAUUCAGUAGAGAAAAAAAAUGUCUAAUUUAGGGGCUUUUUUAGUCAUACUCGUCUACACAUUAUAUAUAUAUACAUACAUAUAUAUAUAUGUAUAUAUAUAUUGCUGUUAAAAGGAAAAGAGGGUUUAGACUGACACGUUGUGUCUGAUUUUACUCCUGUGUAUCAAGAAAUCUACUGACAUACAACAGGCAGUAAGAUCUGUGAUCUUCGCCGUAACCCUGUUCUUGUUUUAAAAGUCUUUAUUUUGGUAAUUGCAAUGCCAGAUUAUAUCAUAUGGCUUGCACAUCAUAAGGACUUAGUAGCUAUUUAUUAAUGAUUACGAGCUCUUUGAAGAAGGGAAAGAUUGCCUUUGCUCAUGAAUGAUGGAAUAAUGAUGAGGAAAUUAAUGAGUUAUAAGGGAGUGAUAGCGGCUAGCUCUGUAAUUCCUAAGGAGCGCUCCCAUGUGUAAAGUCGGUGAGAUUUAGAGCUGCUGUCUAUUCCUUUUUAGAUUUGCUAACGCUCAGCCGUGAGAUGGGGCUUUGGACUUCUCUUAGCCAUUCUUUGUCUACAGUAGCAUUCUCAAGUCAGUGCCAUCCACUUCAUGAGAACAUUGUUUUCUUUCACUGAUGCUGUGGGAGAGCAGAUCGUGCACACAGCACCAGAGGCACAUUCAAUGAUUCUUGGGUUUUAGAGACUUCUUGAUCUGUAUUUAUACAGGCCUCAGCCCAAUCCCCAACUUGAACUGCGGACCUUGUAGGUACUCCUUGAACCUGUUUGAGUCCUUUUUUAAGCCUGAGGGUUUUAUACCGUCUUAGAAGCUUUGGGCCCAGACCAGUCACAUUUCUUACUCUUAGGGCACAGCUCUGACUUAAGCUAAUCAUGACAUUAGUUCUUUCUCUUUGUUUUUGCCGGUGCUGAGUCUCAAGCUCAGAUUUAUUGUCACUCAUAGAAUUAAAUGUGUACAGAUUAUCACCAGAAGCCACUUAUAGUUUCAAAUAAGGGCUAUGUAACAUACAGUGUAAAAGCAAACUUUUGAGUUUAUGUGUGGUCUAUAGCAAGCAUAUGUGACAGACAAUGUCAUUUCAGUAAUGUUCAGCUCCUCUCUGUUCACAUUAUGUGUGUGUGUCUGCGUACAUGUGGAUGUGUGCGUAUAACAUUCUACAUGUUCUCAGUCUUGCAAUUUUCCCUUAUUCAGCACAAGAUGGUGUCUGGGAAGAUUCAGCUGUAAAAUGAAUAGUGAAUGAUCUAUCCCCCCCUUUUUUUUCUCCAAAACCUUUUUUUGGGUUUACUGUUAUUUUUCCUUCUAGAAAUUGUACCUUAAAAUUUUUUAAAUGCUUUAUUCUAAAGUUUUUUAACAUUGUAAAAACCAUAUCUUUGUCUUAAAUGAAACUGCAAACCCAACCAAUGUGUUUGUUCCCUCACCUGUGACACACACAUAGUUUGUAAUGAGCUCCUGCUUUUAUUAGAGAAGCACAUUGGGGUACCAGGAAUUUUCACAAACUCAGAUUCAUAGAAGCAGUGAGUAAGAAAAAACUAUCCCAAGAAUUCCACAUACUGUCGUACAGUGUCGUCUUUCAAAAACUGUACAUUGUGUUAACUUGAGUGCCUUUCUAACUGUGGUACAAGUUAUCUUAUACUGAACUCUUGUGUUUAGGUAGUAAAAAGUGUAAACAUUUUAUCGGCUCAUUGUGUUGCAGUGAGAUAGACUGACUGGAGAAGACCUUUUGAUUUAUAGUUCAUUAAUUGGCAAUUUUUAUGUACUCUACAAAGAAUACCAAAAGUUAGAAUUCAUUCUGUCUGUCUGACAGCAAACGUUUUGACUUUUGGAGGCAUCAUAAUUGAAGGGCGGUGUGUGCAUAAUUAAAGACACAUGAAAGCUAUGCAGCUGUGCUUGAAGGGAAGCAGGCACCCCAGGCACUGCCAAGAGAGAAAGCGGGUGUUGUCCCAGGGGGAAAUGGGACUGGCUAAUACCAAAAGAAAAGGUGAAUUUCAAUUUCUAUGAAUUUGUGUGUGGAAGGGAAGGCCUGUCAUAGUUAAUGAUAGCAUAUAGUUGUCAUCUUGAUUUCUUAAAAAUAUGUAGUAAAUAUUCCAAAGUGCUUUGCAGAGAAUUGUUGAAUAAUACAUCUCUAUGUUGUGUUCAUAAUUGAGGUAGAAACCAGUGUAUCCUGUGUGGCUUUAGGGUGGGAGGAAUUCUCAGGCUCCCAAUGUCUUGACCCUCUCAGGCCAUUCCCAUCCCCGUCACCACGGAACAACUAGAGGCUGUUGGUUUAAAAAGAAAGGGCAGCUAAGUUGAUCUGCUGAUGAAACCGUGCUUCAAAAGAUGUUAGCUGUACGUAGUUCAUGCUUUCUGAACACAAGCGUGAGCCACAGAGCUGACCCUGAUGUUUAUUAGUCUGUUGUUAAUCUCAGAGUGUAGAAGAUUUAAUCAAUUUAGAACAACAUUUUAUAUUCUUUGGCCAAAAAAGAAAAGGCAAAAUAUUGCUAGUUACUAAUUGUUAGCUCUGAGUGUGCGAAAUCUAAUAUGGACCAUCUUGCUGCUUGUCCUGUAGUUGUAUUAAGGAUGUUAUCAUAAAUGUUGCUGUGAAGAGAACGUCUGUGUUCUGUCUCCACUGUGGGGAUGUGGAGGAGAUUAUAUUUUGUUUCAGUUGAUGUUCUCAGCCUUUAAAAAUUGUAUUGAGGAAAAUAGUCACUGUUGUUUUGCAAACCAACAGCUUUUUUGCUUCCUAAAACUUCUUUUUCUCUGCAAGUGUGAGAUGCAAGACAGACAGGUUCAGGGCAUCACAUAAUGCUGUGCGUACUGUUGGAGAUUAACAAGUCAGAACUGAUAAAUGCUGGAGGAGGAGGAGUAUUAGCAUAGCUCUAUGUUAACGUUGCCCACAUUUAGGUAAACUAUACGAUUUUGUAAGAAAUGCACAUGUUUAAAUAUACAAGGCAAGAUAUACCAUUGUAUAACAUUGCAACCAAAGUCGAGGUUCUUUUUAAGUCUAAAUAUGUGAGCGUACAUGUGUGUGCACACAUGUGCAUGCACAUUCACACAUUUAACAAGAUCUAGAGCUUAGGCUUACAUGAUUUUUUUUACACAGAAGAUUUUUAUGCAAUGAAUUUUUAUUUUCCUAUUAGCUCAAAAUAUUUUAAUUUAAGGCAAUUUCUUGACAGACAGCCUCCUCCAGUAAAGUUGGAAACUGACACAGGUUCAUUUGCCGUAUUUAAAUAUUUGUGAAAACUGAUUAGGUAUUUGGUGGUUUGUAUGUUUAUAUGUUAUUCUGUCCUUUUCCCAUAUUGUUAAGGAUUCAGCCUUCAUUUCAUGCCUAGCAAUCAGUUUCCUAAAAGCACCGAGCAGCAUGCAACAGACACUCUGCUCAUAUUUACAAAGUGAUGCAUGAAACAUCUGAGGUUGGUGUAAUGUGCCAGGGGAUGUAUACUAAUACCGACUCAGAGGACACUCCAGCACUCCCCUAGAAACCACCGUUUGCCCCCACAUCCAAUGUCAUGUAUUUAAGGCAGGUGGCUUUCUGUUAGUUAAAGAAGUGGUGUAGAUGGAGUGCAGACAUUCACUAAGUCCUUAGCUAUUGCUCUAACAUCAGACUAAAGAGCUCACCCAGGAGACAGUGCCCUCUCUUCACUGAAGAAUAUAUGUUUAUAGAGUGAUAUGUUAGACAGUGAAAAAUGUUGCUGCAUGACGUGAAUUAUUACACUUGUUUGUUUAGGCUGGUGUUAGAAACAUAAUAAAGGUACUAUUUAAUAGACUCGUUACAUGAAAACAAGAGUCGGAAAAGUCUAAGCAGUAUCUCCCUAUACAAGGCACAUUUAAUAAAUGUCUCUGAGUGUCAGCAGCCGAAGAGCCUCGCUGUCUUCCACAGCCCAUUUAUAUAUUGGCACAUCCAGUACUUUGUAGCGGAGGUUUUCCAUUUCUCUCUAAUUCUCAGUGGCUCUGCAUUGUCUUAAAAGUGAUAAUGAUAACAUGGGAAGUUAGGCUGAGUAACUUCAUACCAUUUCCUCAGAAUAUAUUUGACACAAGGAAGAUUUUUUUUUUUUUAAAUCAAUGGCAUUGUAGUUUAGGUACCUAUUGUGGGUUGACCUGAUGCAAAUGAUUAAACAGUUUUUAAACAGACAUUCCUACUUGAACUGUGAGGAACCAAGCGGAGUGCAAGUGUCAUUAGGCCUUGCCUUCUGGUGGGCAUGCCGAUGCGUGAUCGUGUAUGGGGAGUCAGCUUUGUAUUUUUGCUGUAUUUUGUUCUAGGAGAGUAGCAGAGUGUACACUAGACUAGAUCACAUCACUGUUUCUGAGCUGGAGACAAAAAAGUGAGGUGUCUAAGUAUUCCAAAUAUUUAUACUGCUAUGAAAACUAAGAGGAAGACUUUUCAAAAGUACAGAAAUGGCUUUUUCUAAACUCGAGUGUUUGUGUGCUAGUUAAUUGCUUAAUUUAAAAACAUUAUAAAAUUGGGGGACUUUCACUGAAGAAAAAGAUCUCAGAUACUAUAUUCUACUAUCAGAAUUCACCAUGGGUGAUAGUUUACAUUGCUUGUAGAUUUUCCUAAAAGCAUUCAGUGGGCUGUAGUUAACAUUGGACACGGUAGUGUGAUCAUGGUACACUGUAAUAUCCCAGACAUUAAAUAUUAGUGUGGCUAGCUGUUUCACUGGAAACAACUGUCCUCAUUGAUAGAUACCACUUUGCCAGGAAUGACAGUCUGUAUUGAAAUUCCCUUAGCUCUUAAGAAUAGCAAUCCAGAGUUUUAAAAGGAUUAAAUCUCUAAAUUCUUUACAGUUAAAAGUGUGUAUCUUGGAGGGGAAUAAGAAAAACUUUUGUAAAAAGGUAUGUGCAAAGUACACUUGUGGUAUUUUGGGGUUUAGUACCCCAGCUGAAUAAAUUAUGCUAAAUCCUAAGGUUAUCACUUGUACUUUUGGCUAAGAUUAAAUGUAAAUUCUGAGGUUAACAUAUCAUGUAUUGUCUAUAGCUGGGUGCUCAGUGGAAAUGUAAUGUGAGCCCCAAGGGUAUUAUUAUUUUCUAAGAGCAAUCUAAUUAACUUUUAAUAAUAUAUCUUAUUUAACCUAAUCUUUUAAAACACUCUUUCAACAAUAAUCAAUGUAACAAAAUUAAGGAGCCAUCUCUCUCCUUUUUCCUUUUAGAUUAGUCUUCACAAUUCACUGUGUGGCUUGCAGUCCUGCCGCCCUCCACUGCAGCCAUGUUCCAUGCUCUCAGGCUCCACAUGUGGCUAGGGCAGCAGCGCAGAUUCAUAGAGCACAAAGUAUGGAUCUGUUUAAAUUUGGGCGUGACAAAUAGACAUGAAAUUUCGGUCCUUUAAGGAUUAUUUAGAAAGAAAUCUAAUGAAGUUUUCCUUCAUUUUAAGUUAACUUUGCUCUAGAAAUGUGGGUCAACCUGAUCCAGUUUGCCAAGCAUUAUUUGAAGAAGAAAUCCUGUGCCAUGUAUAAUACCACUGGGACUGUCACAGAGUACUGACAGUGCACUAGUGGCAGUCCUCCAUCUUCACUAACGUUUGUCCUGUUUCUUCAGAAUGCUAGCUUGAGUUGCACACUUACUGUCCCUGUUUGUUUCCAUUAUUCUUGUUCUAGAAUGAUGUAUAUUGAGCAGCAGCUCUAGGUUUCUAAUCUGUGCAGCUGUCUGCCAGGACAUAGUGGUGCACCUAUUAAAUUGUGAUGAACGGCACAGAAAUAGGUUGAACCAUUUCUUUUCCCAUUAGACUUGUUUUUUUUUAACAUGUGGCCAUGUACCAAACCAGCUGUAAAUUACUGUACUUCUGUAGAAUAUGGAAACGGUGUUGUCUUUGAUGAUGUCUGAGUAAACAUUACCUCUCCUAAAACAAGCGCUAUGUGUGUUUUAUCUGCAUGUAUGUUAAACUUGGCUGUGUCUGUCUGUCUGUCAAGAUGCCCAGCUGACUGCUUUGAUGGUGUUAGGUGGAUGAAGUCAUGCGUUAAAAUCUACGUGUUUAGUAUCAAAGUACUCGUCACAAAAGACUUCAUAUUUCUGGGAGUAACUAUGCCCAGUGAAAGGUCUGCCUCCUAUCUCAGGAGCUAGUGGGCUGUCAUGUUUUGAUGUUUUUAAAGUUGCUAGUGGUCUAAGCAGACACAAUUUUGAAAGAACCUUAGAAGAUCAUUUAAUAAAUGGGGUUGGUAAACCCAUUAGUCACCCAUUUGUAAUUUUACCCUCUACUUUGGUCCCUCGGGGGGAAAAUUUCCAGUUCUCUGAAGACAUCUGAUUUGUGUCUGUUAUAUGCUGUGUUUUCAUUAAUCCAGUGAUGCCACGGGGAGAAAACUGAAAGCAUUCUGUAUAGCACUUCCUGCAGGAGGGAAUCACAAAAACCAACAGUGGCUUGGGUAAUCUGCUAAGAGUGCGCAUAAUCACGUGGAAAAUAGCCCACAGUCUAUUUAACUUGUGGAGUGAGUGAUAAAGCUAUAUGUAAAGUAACGUCCUAGUUUUCUAAAACGAGUUUUAAAUUUUUCUUUCCAGUCAUUACAGAACUGAGUGAAAAGGAGCAAAAUUAUUGGAGAAAAAAAAAAUAGUUGUUUUUUUUUAAAGUAGUGUUAAGUAGGAAAUCCUACUUAAACCAGAACACUGAUGGAAAAGGUCUUCACUGUAGCUAAAAUAAGGAUUAAACAGAGAGAGAGAG
ensembl:lncRNA